rnacentral:rRNA from 1 species
ACCUUACCAAGGCUUGACAUACGCCGGAAACACCCAGAGAUGGGUGCCCCCUUGUGGUCGGUGUACAGGUGGUGCAUGGCUGUCGUCAGCUCGUGUCGUGAGAUGUUGGGUUAAGUCCCGCAACGAGCGCAACCCUUGUCCCGUGUUGCCAGCAGGCCCCUCCGGGGGUGCUGGGGACUCACGGGAGACCGCCGGGGUCAACUCGGAGGAAGGUGGGGACGACGUCAAGUCAUCAUGCCCCUUAUGUCUUGGGCUGCACACGUGCUACAAUGGCCGGUACAAUGAGCUGCGAUACCGCGAGGUGGAGCGAAUCUCAAAAAGCCGGUCUCAGUUCGGAUUGGGGUCUGCAACUCGACCCCAUGAAGUCGGAGUCGCUAGUAAUCGCAGAUCAGCACUGCUGCGGUGAAUACGUU